rnacentral:lncRNA from 1 species
CGUUUAGCCUGCCAGGCACAGAGCCUCCACAGGGGACGACGUGGGCUCUGGACUCUGGAUUGUGUGUCCCCGCCACUGUCCUGACAUCCAUGUGGACAGAUGCCCUGAUCCCCCUCUGCAGGGGCUGUUCUCUUUUCCUCUCCUUGGGGUGUGUAAUGUGUGUUUGUCUUUGCGUGUGUGUGUGUGUAGACAUUUUUUAUUUUGUCUCUUUACCUCCAAAU